CGCGAUUCGCCCUUCGGGGUGCCCAGGCGCGAAAACUUUGCAAUGCGGGAAACCGUGACAGGGGAACUCUGAGUGACCCUUAAAUCGGGCUGCCCUUCGCUUUACUUAACCGGUGAAGAAAGGGCGGGGCGGGACCGGUGCCAGCCGCCGCGGUAAUACCGGCGGCUCGAGUGGUGGCCACUAUAACUGGUCUUAAAGCGUUCGUAGCUGGCUUGUUUAGUCUCUGGGGGAAUCUUCCGGCUGUAACCAGAAGUGGUCUCAUGGAUACAGGCAGACUAGGGACCGGGAGAGAUGAGAGGUACUCCAGGGGUAGGAGUGAAAUCCUGUCUUCCUUGGUGGGACCACCUGUGGCGAAAGCGUGUCUCCAAAACGGCUCCGACAGUGAGGGACGAAAGCUGGGGGAGCCAACCGGAUUAAAUACCCGGGUAGUCCCAGCUGUAAACGAUGUGCGUUAGGUGUAUCGGUGACCACGAGUCACCGAGGUGGCCAACAGAAAUCGUGAAACGUACCGCCUGGGAAGUACGGUCGCCAGGCUGAAACUUAAAGGAAUUGGCGGGGGAGCAC
rnacentral:rRNA from 1 species